CCUACGGGUGGCAGCAGUGAGGAAUAUUGGUCAAUGGACGCAAGUCUGAACCAGCCAUGCCGCGUGCAGGAAGACGGCUCUAUGAGUUGUAAACUGCUUUUGUACGAGGGUAAAUCCCGACACGUGUAUCGGGUUGAAAGUAUCGUACGACUAAGGAUCGGCUAACUCCGUGCCAGCAGCCGCGGUAAUACGGAGGAUUCAAGCGUUAUCCGGAUUUAUUGGGUUUAAAGGGUGCGUAGGCGGUUCGAUAAGUUAGAGGUGAAAGCCCGGGGCUCAACUCCGGCACUGCCUCUGAUCCGGUCGGGUGAGAGUUUAGGUGCGGUAGGCGGAAUGUGGGGUGUAGCGGUGAAAUGCGUAGAGAUCAUGCAGAACACCGAUUGCGAAGGCAGCUUACCAAACGACGACUGACGUUGAGGCACGAAAGCGUGGGGAGCAAACAGGAUUAGAUACCCUGGUAGUC
rnacentral:rRNA from 1 species